ACCCGCUGAAUUUAAGCAUAUCAAUAAGCGGAGGAAGAGAAACCAACAGGGAUCCCUCAGUAACGGCGAGCGAAGUGGGAAAGCCCAGGUCUGAAAUCUCCGCGAAUUGUGGUCUGGAGAGGCAGAGUCCCGACUGCUUUCCCCGAAGUUGACUUGGAACGGCACGCCAGAGAGGGUGAGAGCCCCGUGCACGUCGAGAGCGGCGGGACGGGUCUGUACUCGUGGAGUCGGGUUGUUUGGGAUUGCAGCCCCAAGUGGGUGGUAGACUCCAUCCAAGGCUAAAUACGGACGCGAGACCGAUAGCUGACAAGUACCGUGAGGGAAAGGUGAAAAGCACUUUG
rnacentral:rRNA from 1 species